rnacentral:sRNA from 1 species
CCUUUUACAAUGUGUGAAUUUUUUAUUUUCUCAAAAGAAUAAAAAGAAACAUGUUAAAUAAAUUAUUGGAGGUAAUACACAUGGCACAACAAGGUACAGUUAAAUGGUUCAACGCAGACAAAGGUUUCGGUUUCAUCGAAGUUGAAGGUGGCGACGAUGUAUUCGUACACUUCUCCGCAAUCACUGGUGAAGGCUUCAAAACUUUGGACGAAGGCCAACGCGUUGAGUUCAACGUAGUUCAAGGCAACCGUGGACCACAAGCUGAGAACGUUGUAAAACUGUAAUAAAUCAUUACAGCGAAACAUCCCCUGACCAUAUUGGUUAGGGG